rnacentral:rRNA from 1 species
AUUGAACGCUGGCGGCGUGCUUAACACAUGCAAGUCGAUCGGUAACAGGUGUAGCAAUACAUGCUGACGAGAGGCGGACGGGUGAGGAACGCUUGGGAAUCUGCCUAUCAGCGGGGGACAACCCGGGGAAACCCGGGCUAAUACCGCAUACGCUCUACGGAGGAAAGCCGGGGACCGCAAGGCCUGGCACUGAUAGAUGAGCCCAAGUCGGAUUAGCUAGUUGGCGGGGUAACGGCCCACCAAGGCGACGAUCCGUAGCUGGUCUGAGAGGACGAUCAGCCACACCGGAACUGAGACACGGUCCGGACUCCUACGGGAGGCAGCAGUGGGGAAUAUUGGACAAUGGGCGAAAGCCUGAUCCAGCGACGCCGCGUGGGUGAAGAAGGCCUGCGGGUUGUAAAGCCCUUUCGGUAGGGACGAAAGCUCUCGACCUAACACGUCGGGAGGUUGACUUAACCUACAAAAGAAGCACCGGCUAACUCUGUGCCAGCAGCCGCAGUAA